rnacentral:rRNA from 1 species
CACGUAGGGCGCAAGCGUUGUCCGGAAUUAUUGGGCGUAAAGAGCUCGUAGGCGGUCUGUCGCGUCUGCUGUGAAAACUCAGGGCUUAACCCUGAGCUUGCAGUGGGUACGGGCAGACUAGAGUGCGGUAGGGGAGACUGGAAUUCCUGGUGUAGCGGUGAAAUGCGCAGAUAUCAGGAGGAACACCGGUGGCGAAGGCGGGGUCUCUGG